GUAAAUAUACAAUAUAAAAUGGUAAGGCAAAGAAAAUCGGCAAGUACACAUGCUAAUCACAAAAAAUAUCAGUCUAAUCUUUUAGGUAGAUUUUUAAGUAAAGACAACUAAACAGCGAAUUUUAAUUUUUUUAUAAACUUCCGGUUGGACGUAAGAUCUGCCUUGGCCAAGCGUUGUAGCCAAGGAGACCGAGCUUCUAUUAAAAAAACAAAACAAAAAAAACUUUAUUUAUAGCAAGGACCGAUAUUAACAUAAACUGCCUAAAUACAUUUAAAGUACAAGAAAACCGAAAACAAAUCAUUGGGGGAUACAUAAUAGCAAAACACCAUUUUUUAAGUUAAAGAUAAUAAAUACAGUUUUACAAACAGUCUUGAAUAUUAUGUAGGACUUCUACAUUUAAUUUGAGCAAAAACAAAUUGAAACUAGUUAAAAUACAUAUUAGAAGAGGAAAUAAGAUAAAAGAAAGGAUGCGCAGCUGGCCUGAAAGAUCGACGUCAGGGCUGAAAAAGAAAAAAAAAGGAAUCUUGGUUGUCACGGCAACGUUGUGUAUGAUCGAGCGAGUGCCAAAUGAGCGUGAAAAUAGUUAUAAGUAGGAGUACCUAUAGCUAACUUUUCUUCACUGGAAAACAAUGGGAAGGGUGAAACAGCGAGCUAUUUCAGUCAGGGGAGGCCUGAAGUACUAAAGCGGAGAGCGAUGUCAAGUCAUAACCUGCCACCGGUGCGCCAUUUGCCACACUUGACCAGAGUAGGGCGGCUAGAGAAGCCUUGCUCGCUACGACGCUUACCGGCUAACCCUGAACAGCGGCUCCCGCUACCUGUUAUCAAGCCAGCGGGCAGAGCAGCGGCAGAGACGUCCUGUCAGAGCGGCAGCACGGACCUCCGGGUUGCUUCACUGCAAAGAAACGUCCAGUUCCUACAAGAACAGCACAAGGAAACACUGAAGAAGCUCCACGCAGAGAUAGAGAACCUCAGACGGGAGAAUAAAGAGUUGAAGUAUAAGGUGAUAAUGGAGCCUCCUAAGUCAAGUAGAAAAGGUAACAUGUUUAAGCACAUGUAAUGACUUAUUAGGUUUUCAUUUAGGUGAAUUUCAAUGUGCCACCUAAACUUAAUGUCUGAUCCUUCUUCUUCUACGAGUUGCACACAGUCGACAAAACUGUAGACCACCCACUCAGGGCAGUCAAGCCCAUACUGGACUGUACAUGGAGGAGCCACUGCAGGACACGAGACUCUUGCAGGACCAGGCUCUCGGUAGCAUUGGAGCAAGCACUGAAAUUCUG
ensembl:lncRNA